UGCAGCAGCAAAAACAGAAAAAGGUAUGAUAAAAAUAGGACAAUAUAUAAUAACAUAUAAAAAUUAUAAACAAUAUGAACAGUAUAAACAGAACUAUGUACACAUAUAACAUUAUUUGAAAUAGCAAAAUAUGAAAAUGAAAUAGCAAACACAAAAUCUAGUCUAACCCACAAGCACUGUGUAGAGGUGUGAGUGUGUGAAUAUGUAUGUCUGUGGAAAACAAUGGUAAGAUGGCUGCUUUAAGAUGUCAUAGUAUAAUAUGGCGUGAAAAACCAUCAAAAAAUGUCACAGUAUAAUAAGGCAUCAAAAAAUGUCAUAGUAUAGUAAGGUGUCAAAAGCCAUCAAAAAAUGUUACAGUAUAGCAAGGUGUCAAAAAACAUCAAAAAAUGUCAUAGUAUAGUAAGGUGUCAAAAGCCAUCAAAAAAUGUUACAGUAUAGCAAGGUGUCAAAAAACAUCAAAAAAUGUCAUAGUAUAGUAAGGUGUCAAAUGCCAUCAAAAAAUGUUACAUUAUAGUAAGGUAUCUAAAACCAUCAAAAAUUGUCACAGUAUAGUAAGGCGUCAAAAUGAUCAGAAAAUGUUAUAGUAUAGUAAAGUGUCAAAAAAUGUCAUAGUAAGGGGUCAAGAAAUGCCAUAGUAUGGUAAGAUGUCAAAAACCAUUUAAAAAUGUUACAGUAUAGUAAGGUGUCAAAAGCCAUCAAAAAAUGUUACAGUAUAGCAAGGUGUCAAAAAACAUCAAAAAAUGUCAUAGUAUAGUAAGGUGUCAAAUGCCAUCAAAAAAUGUUACAUUAUAGUAAGGUAUCUAAAACCAUCAAAAAUUGUCACAGUAUAGUAAGGCGUCAAAAUGAUCAGAAAAUGUUAUAGUAUAGUAAAGUGUCAAAAAAUGUCAUAGUAAGGGGUCAAGAAAUGCCAUAGUAUGGUAAGAUGUCAAAAACCAUUUAAAAAUGUUACAGUAUAGUAAGGUGUCAAAAGCCAUCAAAAAAUGUUACAGUAUAGCAAGGUGUCAAAAAACAUCAAAAAAUGUCAUAGUAUAGUAAGGUGUCAAAUGCCAUCAAAAAAUGUUACAUUAUAGUAAGGUAUCUAAAACCAUCAAAAAUUGUCACAGUAUAGUAAGGCGUCAAAAUGAUCAGAAAAUGUUAUAGUAUAGUAAAGUGUCAAAAAAUGUCAUAGUAAGGGGUCAAGAAAUGCCAUAGUAUGGUAAGAUGUCAAAAACCAUUUAAAAAUGUUACAGUAUAGUAAGGUGUCAAAAGCCAUCAAAAAAUGUUACAGUAUAGCAAGGUGUCAAAAAACAUCAAAAAAUGUCAUAGUAUAGUAAGGUGUCAAAAGCCAUCAAAAAAUGUUACAGUAUAGCAAGGUGUCAAAAAACAUCAAAAAAUGUCAUAGUAUAGUAAGGUGUCAAAAGCCAUCAAAAAAUGUUACAGUAUAGCAAGGUGUCAAAAAACAUCAAAAAAUGUCAUAGUAUAGUAAGGUGUCAAAUGCCAUCAAAAAAUGUUACAUUAUAGUAAGGUAUCUAAAACCAUCAAAAAUUGUCACAGUAUAGUAAGGCGUCAAAAUGAUCAGAAAAUGUUAUAGUAUAGUAAAGUGUCAAAAAAUGUCAUAGUAAGGGGUCAAGAAAUGCCAUAGUAUGGUAAGAUGUCAAAAACCAUUUAAAAAUGUUACAGUAUAGUAAGGUGUCAAAAGCCAUCAAAAAAUGUUACAGUAUAGCAAGGUGUCAAAAAACAUCAAAAAAUGUCAUAGUAUAGUAAGGUGUCAAAAGCCAUCAAAAAAUGUUACAGUAUAGCAAGGUGUCAAAAAACAUCAAAAAAUGUCAUAGUAUAGUAAGGUGUCAAAUGCCAUCAAAAAAUGUUACAUUAUAGUAAGGUAUCUAAAACCAUCAAAAAUUGUCACAGUAUAGUAAGGCGUCAAAAUGAUCAGAAAAUGUUAUAGUAUAGUAAAGUGUCAAAAAAUGUCAUAGUAAGGGGUCAAGAAAUGCCAUAGUAUGGUAAGAUGUCAAAAACCAUUUAAAAAUGUUACAGUAUAGUAAGGUGUCAAAAGCCAUCAAAAAAUGUUACAGUAUAGCAAGGUGUCAAAAAACAUCAAAAAAUGUCAUAGUAUAGUAAGGUGUCAAAUGCCAUCAAAAAAUGUUACAUUAUAGUAAGGUAUCUAAAACCAUCAAAAAUUGUCACAGUAUAGUAAGGCGUCAAAAUGAUCAGAAAAUGUUAUAGUAUAGUAAAGUGUCAAAAAAUGUCAUAGUAAGGGGUCAAGAAAUGCCAUAGUAUGGUAAGAUGUCAAAAACCAUUUAAAAAUGUUACAGUAUAGUAAGGUGUCAAAAGCCAUCAAAAAAUGUUACAGUAUAGCAAGGUGUCAAAAAACAUCAAAAAAUGUCAUAGUAUAGUAAGGUGUCAAAAGCCAUCAAAAAAUGUUACAGUAUAGCAAGGUGUCAAAAAACAUCAAAAAAUGUCAUAGUAUAGUAAGGUGUCAAAUGCCAUCAAAAAAUGUUACAUUAUAGUAAGGUAUCUAAAACCAUCAAAAAUUGUCACAGUAUAGUAAGGCGUCAAAAUGAUCAGAAAAUGUUAUAGUAUAGUAAAGUGUCAAAAAAUGUCAUAGUAAGGGGUCAAGAAAUGCCAUAGUAUGGUAAGAUGUCAAAAACCAUUUAAAAAUGUUACAGUAUACUAAGGCGUCAAAAACCAUCAAAAAAUGCCAUAGGAAGGUGUUAAAAAAUGUAAAAAAAUUUUAAAAAAUCCACAGUAUAGUAAGGCAUCAAAAAAAUUUACAUUAUAGCAAGGUGUCAAAAAACAUUUUAAAAAAUGUCAUAGUGUAAUAAGGUGUCAAAAGUCAUCAAAAAAAUGUUACAGUGUAGUAAGGCAUCUAAAACCAUCAAAAAAUGUCACAGUAAAGUAAAGCAUCAAAAAAUGUCAUAGUAAGGGGUCAAAAAAUGCUAUAGUAUGGUAAGGUGUCAAAAACCAUUAUAAAAUGUUAUAGUAUAGUAAGGCGCCAGAAAAUGUUUUAAAAAAUCCACAGUAUAGUAAGGUGUCAAAAAAAAAUUACAUUAUAGCAAGGCAUAAAAAAACAUCAAAAAAUUUUGCAGUAUAGUAAGGUGUCAAAAGCCAUCAAAAAAUGUCACAGUAUAGUAAGGUGUCAAAAAUGGUCAGAAAAUGUUUAAGUAAGGCAUUAUUAGUAAGGCAUUAAAAAUGUGAAGUACUGUGCUGUAAAACAGAUUUAUUACAUAGUUCAUGUUUAUCUAUCUCUGUGAAAUUUGAGAGAUAACCAUCUAAUAAUUAAAGCAGGAUCUUAUUUUAUAUAUCGUUUCAGAACUAUUUCUAGUCAUUACUGUGACUGUAAUAAUUAGAAAAACACACUAAAAUAUGUGAUACUGAGUUGUAAAAAUGUAAUCAUUUUAAAUAAUUGUAAUUAGGUAUUGUAAAUAAUUAAGGACGGUUAAGGAAAAGAAAAAUAGAUUUAUUGACCAGUUUCUGUGAUUAACGUGUUCUUGUCUCUGUAGGAGGAGAAGAUAACAGCAGCUGAAAACCUGAAGUGGAUGAAAGAAAAAAGUGUUAAAGUUUUUUAUUAGAUAAAGGACCUCCACCAUCUAACUGCUGUAAACAGUUUUGGUUUCCUGUUGUUCAAGAGAAAAUACUUUUUUCUCUAUCAUCUGUAAUGUAGUCAUGGGCACAUUUUCCAAAGACUUUAUUUAACACCUCUGGAAACAUUUAACGGCUUACGAUACAACUAUUUAAUAAUUGUUUCACAAGUGCUUAAAUGAUCACAAAAAUACUUCAUAGACAUGUUCAUCUUUGAAAAAUGUGCUCAUAACUACAUUAACCUUAACUCUAACCAGCUCUAACAAGUGUUGCCUUGUGGCCAAAUGUCUGUUAUUACGACUGAUAAGUUACAGCAGGUUUAAUUUGUUGCUAUUUGUUCCAGACAAGAGGUUAAAUAAGUGUCAAACUGCAGCUGAGGUAAUGACAGAGUCAGACUGAAAAAAAUAACUACCACUGACCAUGUUUGUUUACUCUAAAACUGUGAGAUUUGGAGUUCUAAGAGUCCAGACUCUGGUUGUUGGUGGUGAAUCUGUUUGUGUGUGGUGUGUUGUGUUAGUCUUCUCUCUGCACAUGACACACUAUAAGAACAAAUCUCUGAAAUCUGACAUUAUUUGUUGUCGUGUGUGGUCUCUCAAGUUUUCUAUAUCAGGUAAGAUUUUAAAAAUCUGUUAGUGUGAGCCAGACUUAAGAGAGCGAGGGAGAGAGACAGAGACAGAGAGAGAGAGGGAGAGAGUGAGAAGGAGCAAGUGCAAAAGAGAGGGAGACAGAAAGUUGAUGUUAAAAUUCUUCAUUUUCUUUGAACUGUACAUUCAUGAACAGUGUAAAUAAAUGUCAUUACUGUAAGUCUAUUUUUUGACAAAAAAUUAACUAUUAAGACUGAAGAUCAAAUACUGAAAAUAAUGUCAGUGCUCUGUGUUGGACAGUUGAUGUAAAGCUGUUGUGAAUUACCUGGAGGCCUCUGUCCUGGUCUCAAAGAGCUUUUUUACUGUACAAAGACUUUGCAAUCGUGGAUGAAGUGGUGACACCAGGAGAAAAUAAAAAGAGAAAUAUACAAAGGAAAAUGAUCAAUACACUAUUACCUAUUCCUCAUCAUCAGUUUAACAAUGAAAAUACAGAUAAAUAUUCAACAUUACAGCUGAACCAGAACAUUUUCCAAAUGUGUCUCAGUGUCUCAGAAAAUGGACUGUUUAUUGUCACAUAUGACAAGA